CAUAUCAUGUUGAAACCCUGGUUCUCUUUCGGUCACCGAAGUUAAGCAGCGUUGAACCUGGUCAGUAUCUAAAUGGGUGACCAAUCGGGAAUACCAAGUGCUGUAAG